rnacentral:rRNA from 1 species
UACGGGGGGGGCAAGCGUUGUUCGGAAUUACUGGGCGUAAAGGGCUCGUAGGCGGCCAACUAAGUCGGAUGUGAAAUCCCCAGGCUUAACUUGGGAACUGCAUCCGAUACUGGAUGGCUUGAAUCCGGGAGAGGGAUGCGGAAUUCCAGGUGUAGCGGUGAAAUGCGUAGAUAUCUGGAGGAACACCGGUGGCGAAGGCGGCAUCCUGGACCGACACUGACACUGAGGAGCGAAAGCCAGGGGAGCAAACGGG